rnacentral:rRNA from 1 species
UGGGGAAUCUUGCGCAAUGGACGAAAGUCUGACGCAGCCACGCCGCGUGAGUGAAGAAGGCCUUCGGGUUGUAAAGCUCUGUCGGGAGGGACGAAAAGGAUUGGAGUGAAUAGCUUCAGUCCCUGACGGUACCUUCAAAGGAAGCACCGGCUAACUCCGUGCCAGCAGCCGCGGUAAUACGGAGGGUGCAAGCGUUGCUCGGAAUUAUUGGGCGUAAAGGGUAGGUAGGUGGUCUCAUUUGUCUGGGGUGAAAGCCUUGGGCUUAACUCAAGAAGUGCCCCAGAAACGGUGAGACUGGAGUCCUGGAGAGGGUCGUGGAAUUCCCGGUGUAGCGGUGAAAUGCGUAGAGAUCGGGAGGAACACCAGAGGCGAAGGCGGCGACCUGGACAGGCACUGACACUCAACUACGAAAGCGUGGGGAGCAAACAGGAUUAGAUACCCCCGUAGUCC